CCUUCGAUAGCUCAGUUGGUAGAGCGGAGGACUGUAGUGGAGGCUGUCAGGCAUCCUUAGGUCGCUGGUUCGAAUCCGGCUCGAAGGA
rnacentral:tRNA from 1 species